UACGUAGGUGACAAGCGUUGUCCGGAAUUAUUGGGCGUAAAGAGCUCGUAGGCGGUUUGUCACGUCGGAUGUGAAAGCCCGGGGCUUAACUCCGGGUCUGCAUUCGAUACGGGCAGACUAGAGUGUGGUAGGGGAGAUCGGAAUUCCUGGUGUAGCGGUGAAAUGCGCAGAUAUCAGGAGGAACACCGGUGGCGAAGGCGGGUCUCUGGGCCGAUAUUGACGCUGAGGAGCGAAAGCGUGGGGAGCAAACAGG
rnacentral:rRNA from 1 species